rnacentral:rRNA from 1 species
UACGUAGGGGGCUAGCGUUGUCCGGAAUCAUUGGGCGUAAAGAGCGUGUAGGCGGCCCGGUAAGUCCGCUGUGAAAGUCGGGGGCUCAACCUCAAGCUGUCGGCGGAAACUGUUUGGCUAGAGUCCGGAAGAGGAGAGUGGAAUUCCUGGUGUAGCGGUGAAAUGCGCAGAUAUCAGGAAGAACACCUAUGGCGAAGGCAGCUCUCUGGGACGGUACUGACGCUGAGACGCGAAAGCGUGGGGAGCGAACAGG